UGCAGCUGCCAGUUGCUCCUGCAAAAUGGGAAGUUGGAGCUUAGCUCUUUUUCAGAAGUUAACUCAAAGAGCAGACCAGCAGAUGAUUGAAAUCAAUGGACCUAAGCUGAUUUACACAAGCUAAGGAUCUGACCAACUGUAAUAAGAGCGGCAUACAGCUGAUCUAAACUGGGGCAGCGCAUCUCUGGAAGUUGUCUUUCCAUGGAGAACUCGUUAAAGUGCUUUUUAUGGAGAUCUUCCCUCAGAAUGUCCGAUCAGGUGUGCCAAAUUCUUCUCCUCCUCUUUCAUCAUCUCUCCAGUGAGAAGGAAGAGUCCUCUUCAUGGGAAAUAGAUGUUACUAUCCCCAGCUGCUGCCUAAGCCUACAUGAUUGUCAGCUAAACGUUAAGAGAUGCAAAAACUGCUUCCAGCCAAGACAAUCAUAGCAUGAAUCCUAUCUGUUUGGUCAGCUGGAGGCUUCCUCAUAGGUCUCCUGGCUGCACUGCUACAUCAAAGGAAAUAUGCUAACUUGGGAUGAGCUCUUGCUGCACAAUUCAGAGCUGGGCCUGAAGUUUGAAUACUUCAGUUUCUGGUGUGUUUGGAGUUGAUGUUUGUUUAGCCAUUUACUCUAUUAUGAAAACUGGGACCAGCAUUUGAAUAAGGAAUUUUGCCCUCUGCCCUGGGUAUUUAGAUCUGGGGGGUUGGUUCAGGCCCAGCACUAGUGCAAAUUGUUUUUGCUUUUCAGUAAUGUGGGAUUUUGCUGGAUGUAACAGUAGUGCAAAACAUCCAAGGGCCAGGCCUAACUCAGGGUGUGCAUAGACUGCUGUUAGAGGUGUGAGUGCAGCACAUGGAGCCAGCCCUACCUAGCUCAAAUAACAAUAGCACUGAAGCCAUAUCCAGGGCCCUGACCAGGUGUGCAAAGCCCAUGCUAAGGCCACACUGCUAGCACUGUAGAAGUAUCCCAAGUCCUUACUCUCUCAAAUUCCCCACUGAAGUCGGGGGAGCUAAGUCUGCUCUUCCACUGGUUUUAAGUACCGUUACUCUCCCUGGGUUACUCCUCAUUUAUAGUGGUGGAAGUGGGGAUCAGGAUUUGGCCCAUUUUUCACUUUGUGACAGACGUGCUCUGAUCUCUUGUGCUCAGUCACCUUCCCAAAUCACAAGAAUCCCUGGUGAGACAUUCCAUGCUAACCUGACCUGCUUCUGUGCAGCAGUGGAAAUCACAUAAGUCUAAAGAUUCCUGCUCUCUUGUUCAUGUUUGAAAAUUCUCUGAAUUACUGGCAAUUUUGUGUGAAUACCUUUCCGAAAAGAGGAAACUCUCUAAAGGUUUUCAGUUGUCGUCUGUUUCUAAAUGACCCUGCUAUCUGCAUGCUGAGUCAGCUGUUUGUCAUGUACAGGGGUUAAGUAGCUGCAAUAUAAUCCUGCCUCAGGGUUAUUUCAUGUACAUCCCCUGUUCAGUGGUUUUGAAUUUCCCUAAAAUAUAUUCACAUAAAUUUAGGCAGCAAAGAGAAAAUCCCCCCACAGUGCAUGUUUGUGCUUAUGCUCCAUGACUUGGCCUCAAAUGUCAUUGCACCACUGGGAAAACGACCUUGAUCAUGAAAUACCACAGGCCUGUUUUUCUUUAUUUUUGUAAAACUUUUUCCAUGUGUAGGCAUAGAAUGUCUUCUGCAUAAUACUCACUCUGCACUGGAAUAUCUUUUGUAUCCUAGGUCAGGUGUGUGCUGGAAGCCACUGUCCAGUGUAUACUGUGGAGUGAGUGAUUUAGUCCAGUUCCCAUUCAAGUCAAUAAGAGCCUUUCCAUUGACUAUAUUAGGAGCUGAAUCCUUAGGCCCUCGCUCUGUUUUUAAUUGGGCAAAAUUCUCAUAGGUUAGGGUCGUUAUGAUUCAGUUUUUAUUCAGCCCUUGUUCAGGAAAACUUCCAUUGGCUCCUCAGAAUUAGGACCUCAGGAGCUGGCCCCCUGUAUGCAGACUCACAGUAAGCUUGCUGUAGGCUGGUGCUGUUAGUCCAUCUGUGACAAAUGACAUACCCCAUCAGUCCACCAGUAGUACUAUUUGUAACCCAGGGGUAGCCUGAGAGAUUCGUAUUUAUUGACCUUAGGUAAAAU